UGUCGCGACGAGUUUGAUCAGUGGCUCGAGGACGAACGGCUGGCGGCGUGCCUAACACAUGCAAGUCGAACGGGCGAAGGGAGCUUGCUCCCUGAGCUAGUGGCGAACGGGUGAGGUAACGCGUGAGUAACCUGCCUUUCAGUGGGGGACAACAGUUGGAAACGACUGCUAAUACCGCAUAAAGCUUAAUGGGGGCAUCCCUGAUAAGCCAAAGAUUUAUUGCUGAAAGAUGGACUCGCGUCUGAUUAGCUAGAUGGCGGGGUAACGGCCCACCAUGGCGACGAUCAGUAGCCGGACUGAGAGGUUGAACGGCCACAUUGGGACUGAGAUACGGCCCAGACUCCUACGGGAGGCAGCAGUGGGGAAUAUUGGGCAAUGGGCGAAAGCCUGACCCAGCAACGCCGCGUGAAGGAAGAAGGCCUUCGGGUUGUAAACUUCUUUUACCAGGGACGAAGGACGUGACGGUACCUGGAGAAAAAGCCACGGCUAACUACGUG
rnacentral:rRNA from 1 species